AGCAGCCGCGGUAAUUCCAGCUCCAAUAGCGUAUAUUAAAGUUGUUGCAGUUAAAAAGCUCGUAGUUGAAUUUCGAGAUCAAUUUGUUGGUCGUGCCUCGGUACGUACUGGCAAUUUUGAUUUCUCCCUUCUGAAGAACCAUGAUGUCAUUAAUUUGGUGUCAUGGGGAAUCAGGACCGUUACUUUGAAAAAAUUAGAGUGUUUAAAGCGGGCUCGCGCUUGAAUACAUUAGCAUGGAAUAAUGAAAUAGGACGUUUGAUUCUAUUUUGUUGGUUUCUAGGAUCGACGUAAUGAUUAAUAGGGAUAGUUGGGGGCAUUAGUAUUCAAUUGUCAGAGGUGAAAUUCUUGGAUUUAUUGAAGACUAACUACUGCGAAAGCAUUUGCCAAGGAUGUUUUCAU
rnacentral:rRNA from 1 species